CACAGCCAGACAGGUGGGCAGCAGAGCAAGCUCUGUCACAGACUAUGUGGAGACUUGUGAAGGUACACCUGAUGAUCAUCUUAAUCCCCACUUCCUGUUUAUCGACUCCGGCUUCUCAAUCAGUCAUCGCCAGUUAGUCAAACAGUCUACCCUACUGUUCCUCCACACCGCAGUCCUGGUUCCUACUUCAACCCAGCUGGGCUCCAGCAACAACCAGCCUCUUCUCAUUUCGCAGCAAAUAAACAUAUGAACUGUUACAACUCUUGUGUCUGUCGUGCGUUUGGGCUCCCCCCAUCGCGGGCCGUAACAGUCUGUCUUCUAUUACUAAGACAGUUGGAUUGCACCUGCAAAAGGCAUGUUUUAAAAUUGUUUAUUCACUUAAAUCUAGCCUAGGCUAUUUGGAGAAACCUACUAGAGUUGGCAAGACAUUGAAAGUAUCAAACUGAAAAAAGUCCCCAAAAUCCCUUCAGCCCCCAUCCAAUCCCACUUCCUCAAAGCACAUGGCAGACCGCAGACUUUCACAGUUCAUGCCGACCGUUGUGGAAGUCUCAACAUGGCAAGUUUCGUGACAAACACAGUCAUGUGUUUGUGUGUGACAAACAGCGAAAUCUAAGGGGGAUGAUGUUCUAGACACCCUCAGACAGAACAGAUAACUGCAAAACUGGACACUGAACAAAAAAUACAUAUGUAUAUAAUAUUUGCAAUUGUAACUGUUAAUCCAAUAGGGUUUGUACACAAUUUUGAAUUAGAAUCUUGUUCAUUUGUAUGACAGAGGGAGCCUGCUUUCAUUUUGCUUGAAUAGUAAUACAAGUGAAAAGACAAGUGCAGACUAGAAAUGUACUCCAUUGUCAUGCUUAAAAAGAUAUGCACUCUAACAUAAUUGUUGAGUUUCCAAAACCUUGGCUUGCCACAAGGUGGUACUCUGCAUUAAUUCAGACCCCAGCGAUUAACGAUAGGCCUACAUGAUUUAAAUGAUCAUUAGACUACUUAUAUAUGAUAAGUAUCAUAUUGGUAUUAAUAAUAUAGUAAUAGUAAUAUUAGCAUAUAAUAUAUAAGUAUAAGUAUAUAUUAUUAGUAUAUAGUAUUAUUAU
rnacentral:lncRNA from 1 species